rnacentral:rRNA from 1 species
AACGAACGCUGGCGGCAUGCCUAAUACAUGCAAGUCGAACGAGAUCCUCGGAUCUAGUGGCGUCCGGGUGCGUAACGCGUGGGAAUCUGCCCUUGGGAUCGGACUAAUAUCUGGAAACGGAUGCUAUUACCGGAUGAUGACGUAAGUUCAAAGAUUUAUCGCCCAAGGAUGAGCUCGCGUAGGAUUAGCUAGUUGGUGCGGUAAAGGCUCACCAAGGCGACGAUCCUUAGCUGGGCUGAGAGGAUGAGCAGCCACACUGGGACUGAGACACGGCCCAGACUCCUACGGGAGGCAGCAGUAGGGAAUAUUGGACAAUGGGGGCAACCCUGAUCCAGCAAUGCCACGUGAGUGAUGAAGGCCUUAGGGUUGUAAAGCUCUUUUACCCGAGAUGAUAAUGACAGUACCGGGAGAAUAGGCCCCGGCUAACUCCGUGCCAGCAGCCGCCGUAAAAC